CUUACCAGGUCUUGACAUCCUCUGACAAUCCUAGAGAUAGGACGUCCCCUUCGGGGGCAGAGUGACAGGUGGUGCAUGGUUGUCGUCAGCUCGUGUCGUGAGAUGUUGGGUUAAGUCCCGCAACGAGCGCAACCCUUGAUCUUAGUUGCCAGCAUUCAGUUGGGCACUCUAAGGUGACUGCCGGUGACAAACCGGAGGAAGGUGGGGAUGACGUCAAAUCAUCAUGCCCCUUAUGACCUGACAAUGGACAGAACAAAGGGCAGCGAAACCGCGAGGUUAAGCCAAUCCCACAAAUCUGUUCUCAGUUCGGAUCGCAGUCU
rnacentral:rRNA from 1 species